ensembl:lncRNA
AUGGGAGAGGCCCGGCUCCUCCGUCCUGCAAAUGUCGCAAAAUUCCUGAGGCUCCACCACAUCCUCCCAGUGCAUAGGGUAGAAAAAACAUGGAUGCUAUUGAAAAUUCCCCCAGUUGGUAUCUGUAAGUUGAAUUUCUCAACCUUCCUUUUAUUCCCUUGGAAACAUGACCUAAUAAUUAAUUUCGGAUUUGUCAAGGAAAAUGUUGAGUCUUCCUAAAACUUUUGAAAAAAAAAAAAAGUGGCAUUUUUGACUGAGAUAUAUCUCCUCCUCUUUGCUAUUGGAAACUAUGUAUUAUUGCUAUCUAUAGUCAUCCUACAGUGCUGUGGAACAGCAGAACUUGUUCUUGCUGUCUAGCUGUAAUUUUUAUCCUUUAACAAACUUAGUUCCUAUUCCUAGAGACCCACUGAAACUGCUCUUGCUUUCUUUAUCCAUUACAACCAUAUUAUAAAAUUCAAUAAGUAAGUUUUUGGCCUCAUAUUAUUUGAAUUCUUGGCAUCAUACUGAUACGGUUUGGCUGUGCCAUCACCCAAAUUUCAUCUUGACUUCCCAUGUGUUAUUGGAGCGACCCAGUGGGAGAUAAUUGAAUCAUGGGAGCAGGAAUUUCCUGUGCUGUUUUCAUGAUAGUGAAUAAGUCUCACAAGAUCUGAUGGUUUUAUAAAGGGAAGUUUCCCUGCCCAAGUGCUGUUAUUCUCUCUUGUCUGCCACCAUGUGAGACAUGCCUUUCACUUUCCACCAUGAUUGUGAGGCCUCCCCAGCCACGUGGAACCGUAAGCCCACUAAACCUCUUUCUUUGUAAAUUGCCUAGUAUUGGGUAUUUAUCAGCAGUGUGAAAAUGGACUAAAACACAUGCCAUAAAAUUAAUAAUGUAUUUCUUGAAGCACUGUUUAUUGGCCUCAAUGUCACUAUAUUCAAGCUCUAUCCAUGCAUCCGGUUUUUGCUGACUUAUUUAUUUCUAACUCUAUCAAUGCAUCUGGUUUUUGCCGAGUUCUUUUCUACCUGAUGGUAAAUAAUAGAGUUUUCCAAAACUAGAUUUUUGCCUUUCUUCUUAUGCUUUUCCUCAUUAUUAGCUUAAAUGGCGUCCAUAUUCCAAUUGAUAUCUCUCUCUGUAACCACAAAAUUGACACUACUACUUGUAUAUAUUAAAGGAAAUUCAAUGCUAACAUGUUGAGAACUGAACUCCUGCUUUUGAUUAUGAAACCUCCUUUAGUUUUCUCCAGUAGAGUAAAUUUCAACUUCAUCUUCCAAGGCAUACGUGUUCCCAAACUGACCAUCUUCCUUCACACUUAUCUCAUUCUCACCCACUGUUACUGGCCUUCCCCACCUUGCCAACAUCUAAUCUGUAAUCCAGCACAAAAAUGAAUAUAACCAAGAUAUAUAAGACCUUCAUUUUCCUAUUUCUCUACUGCAGUCUGUCUCUAUUGAAUUAGUUGAAGCCAACCUUAUCUGCCUUGGCCUCUAUAAUAGCAAUUUUACUGGUGUUUCCAGUUUCAUUCUUAUCUCCCUUUUGCUCCUUUGUCUUAAGUCAUACUCCCAGAGAAGCCAAAGUCUGGGAGAAUGGAUUAAGGCAAAACUGUUUUUGUCUAAAAAUAGUUUUGGUGUAAAAAUUUAAUCAUAUACUCUUCCUUUUAAGACCCCUCAAUGGUUUCUUUUUUUCCUUACAAUAAAACGCAAAAUUGUUGAUAUGGUGAACAGGAUUCUCCAUCCUCUGGUCCUGCCCAGGCUCCUUCUCUAAUAUCCUAACCUACUCAUUAGCCACUCUGAUGUCCUUUCAGUUUCUUAAUUAACAACACCUUUCCAUCCUAAUGCUUUUUGAGUUUGCUAUUUCUUCUUGAACAUUAAUUUUUUUUAUAUUCAGGCAAGGUGGACAGAAAAAAAGGAAAUUCAUUUUUGUAGGUAUUCUCUGUCUUCAUUCUUCUCAAUUCCACCUCUCAUCAUCCAUUUCACUCAAUAGGACCUCCUCUAGUUUUCAUCUCAUUAAGUUUGUCCUGUUAGAAUGUCUAUUAUAUUCUGUAAUUUCUUUUGCAGUACUCAUUAUCACUUUUUCUUCUUUUCCUAUCUAAUUUUGUGGAUAUUUGACAAAAUCUAUAGCCUCUUUUAGGUUAUUAGCUUCAAACAUCAGAGGCUGUGUCUUUUUUAUUCAUCAUGAUGUAGUUUUAGCAAGUGAUUCAGAACCUUGACUGUAGAUGACAUUUAGUAACCAAAAAUAAGUAAAUAGAUGGAUAUGUUUAUUGGAUCUGUUCUCAUCUAACUCAAUAGUUACUUAAGACUAGAUAUGUAAGAUUUUUUAAAAAUGAGUUAAGUAGGGUAGGUGUUCAUGGCAAAGAUGGGACUAGAACAUAUUGGACAUGCAAUAUCACAGCACAUGUUUUUCAUAUGAAUGUGAGAAAUACUUUCCCCCCAAAUGUCUCUCAGUGUAUUGUAAUAAGAUGUCAGCAAGAAAGAACAAGUGAAAUAUUAUAAUGUAUCAUAUAUAUUAUAUAUAAUAUAACCAUGCUCAACAUUGUUUCUUUUUCUGCAAAGUUGCUAUCAUUAGCAAGAUAUUCUAUUGACAUUUAUCAUAAUCUUAAUAAUUA